AGUAUGGUUUGGAACGGCUGGAACUCUGGAACGAACAUGGAAUAAAAAGGACAAAGAGUACAGUUCAAAACAACUGUCAAACCUACCGGAAACCAUCGCGAAAACAGAAAGUUUGAAGACGGGGCAGGAACCAGCUGAUCUGAGAUUUAAAAUUCACAGUGGCUGGCCAGAAAUUGUACCCUGUGGAAUCGGUGGAAUCCAGUAUGGGUUCAAAUAUAAAAAUGAUUCCGGGUCUUGUCCACGACAGUUUCGGAUUUCAUCGAUUACCGCUCGAUAUCAAGAGCUUAGCGCAAGGAAAUUUCCAGCCGAAUAUAUUGCUUCUAUUGGUCGAUAAACGGAAGAGGACCUGGGAAAGUACAAUGCAAUUGUGGAUUCAAUGCAGCAACAAGAUUGGAAAGAAGUUUAAUUCGCAGCCACCAUAAUUGAUGAACCUGCCAAUUUCAUAAAGACAAAGUGAAUAAACAGACAACCAGUUCUUAAAAACAGCGAAUUCGAUUUAUCAUCGUCAUUCAAUUAUUACUCAAUCAAUCAAUUAAAGUUUUAUUUGUAUUAGUUCAUGAAAAUAAA